UACGAAGGGGGCUAGCGUUGUUCGGAAUUACUGGGCGUAAAGCGCACGUAGGCGGAUAUUUAAGUCGGGGGUGAAAGCCCAGAGCUCAACUCUGGAACUGCCUUCGAAACUAGAGGACUUGGGUACGGGAGAGGUGAGUGGAAUUCCGAGUGUAGAGGUGAAAUUCGUAGAUAUUCGGAAGAACACCAGUGGCGAAGGCGGCUCACUGGCCCGUUACCGACGCUCAGGCGCGACAGCGUGGGGAGCAAACAGG
rnacentral:rRNA from 1 species